GACCUGAUAGCUCAGUGGUUAGAGCAUCUGGUAUAUAAUUGGAUGGUCCUGGAUUCAAACCCCAGUCUGGUCA